rnacentral:rRNA from 1 species
GGAACUUUGCGCAAUGGGCUAACGCCUGACGCAGCAACGCCGCGUGGAGGAUGAAGGUCUUUGGAUUGUAAACUCCUGUCAGCAGGGAAAAAGCAAAGCGACCUAAUACGUCGCUGAGUUGAUUGUACCUGCAGAGGAAGCCCCGGCUAACUCUGUGCCAGCAGCCGCGGUAAUACAGAGGGGGCAAGCGUUAUUCGGAAUUAUUGGGCGUAAAGGGCGCGUAGGCGGCUAUCCAAGUGGCGGGUGAAAUCCCUCGGCUUAACCGAGGAACUGCCUGCCAGACUGAAUGGCUUGAGACCGGGAGAGGUGAGUGGAAUUCCCAGUGUAGCGGUGAAAUGCGUAGAUAUUGGGAGGAACACCAGUGGCGAAGGCGGCUCACUGGACCGGUACUGACGCUGAGGCGCGAAAGCGUGGGGAGCAAAC